rnacentral:rRNA from 1 species
CCUUUGACGUUAGCGGCGGACGGGUGAGUAACACGUGGGUAACCUACCUAUAAGACUGGGAUAACUUCGGGAAACCGGAGCUAAUACCGGAUAAUAUUUCGAACCGCAUGGUUCGAUAGUGAAAGAUGGUUUUGCUAUCACUUAUAGAUGGACCCGCGCCGUAUUAGCUAGUUGGUAAGGUAACGGCUUACCAAGGCGACGAUACGUAGCCGACCUGAGAGGGUGAUCGGCCACACUGGAACUGAGACACGGUCCAGACUCCUAGGGAGGCAGCAGCC